rnacentral:rRNA from 1 species
UACGUAGGUGGCGAGCGUUGUCCGGAUUUACUGGGCGUAAAGGGAGCGUAGGCGGACUUUUAAGUGAGAUGUGAAAUACCCGGGCUUAACUUGGGUGCUGCAUUUCAAACCGGAAGUCUAGAGUGCAGGAGAGGAGAGUGGAAUUCCUAGUGUAGCGGUGAAAUGCGUAGAGAUUAGGAAGAACACCAGUGGCGAAGGCGAUUCUCUGGACUGUAACUGACGCUGAGGCUCGAAAGCGCGGGGAGCAAACAGGAUUAGAUACCCUGGUAGU